CCAGAGGAGGAGUGGUCACUAUACCACAAUGCAUCGCUUCUCAUUAAUAUUCGGAAUUAUAUUUUGCGAGUCUUUGAAAGAUGUUUGUCGAAAAAUUGUGGUUGUUUAUCGCGAUUUUUUACGCUGAAAAUUUUGAUUUUUGGAAGGUACGUUUUCAUAAUUGUUUUAUUUGUGACCUUAAUUGUACGAUUUUUGUUUUAUGUGGUUGUCGUAUCAUGUUUCAGUUAUGUUAAUCACGCAUUGAAUUACCCUUGGUUUCGGGUCAGUGCACAUGUCACAAAAGUGGCUUUGAUAUUCGCCGGGGAUUAAAUGCUUUUUAAAUCAGGAAAUUCAACAACAUUUACAGCAUCGAAUGCAGGAAGGGUUAUUCUUUCUAUUGAUACUUCAAAACACAAAAAAUCCCCUCGAACUGACGAGUUAUCGCGGUUUGAAAAUGGGGUAUAUUUCGGUGCUAUAAAAGAAAUGGCAUUGAUAUACGCCAGGGGUUAAAUAGUUUAUAAAUCGGGAAAUUCAGCAAAAUUCACAUCAUUGAAUUCGGAAAGGUCAAGGUUUUAGCUGAUACUUUAAAACAUUAACAAUCUCCUCCAACCGACGAGUUAUCGCGGUUUGAAAAUGGGGUAUAUUUCGGGUAUAGUGCACACGACACGAAAACGGCUUUGAUAUAUUCAGGGGGCUAAAUGGUUUAUAAAUCAGUAAAUUCAAUAAAAUUCACAUCAUUGUAUUCAGUAAGGAUUACUCUUUCUCUUGGUACUUUAAAACAUAAAAAGGCCCCUGAAACCGACGAGUAAUCGUUGUUUGAAAAUGGGGUAUUUUGCUUUUGUUGUCGCCAAUCGCGGGAAAAGAGGACUCUACAGGAAAUAUGGCGCGAGCGCGACGUAAACAAGCCAGCUUUUCUAACAUAUUGUUCCUGAUUGUAUCAUUUUUUUAUAGAAUUCGAGUUUAUUAAUUGGAGCAAAAAAUGGAAUCUAUUAAUGAUGGCGAUGUUGUCAUUGUUGAUCAUGAUUUAGAAAAUGAGGAAACUCAAAUUACUGAUACGCCAGAAAAACCAACAAGAAAAAGCCAUGUGGUUUCUAGUAGGCUCCUAGCCCAUUUCUUAUAUAUAUCUAUUCCUUGUAAAUGUAAUAUUUUGGGCGAAAAAUAUUAAAAAAAAACAAAAAAACCCAAAAAACCCUGAAGACUAUAUCUCGUGUGGAAAGUUCAUUCAGUCCAGCUUUGGUUCAUAUAAUGGGCCAUUCCAUUUAAUAUAGGCACCCCCCCCCCCUGUUGAGGGGUCCCUUCAACCUAUUGAGGGGUCCCUUUAUAGAACCCCCUUGGAUGUGAUUUUUGGAAGUUACCCCAUGGAUAUCUUCAUAUACCCCCUUUAGGAUAUCGUUUUUGGGUAUCACUAAAACACCUAAUUUUUGCUAUUUUUUUGAAAAUUUCUUAACCCUCUAGGAAAAUUUAAGGUAAAAACCCCCUCCCCCCCCAUAGGAUAUCCAGACCCCUCAACAGGGAGGGGGAGGCAGCUUAUAUUAAAUUGAAUGGCCCAUUCAAAGUCCUGGCACAUCAGCGAAGGUAUAAUAAAAACAAUUAUGGUAGACGAAAUUGUACUUAAAACUUUGUUAUUCUUUGUAUUCUAUUCUUUAAAAUAUUGUCUUUGUAUACAGGGAUGGAUCCAGCAUGAUCUGGUAGGAGGGGGGGGGGGUGCUCUGGUGCCGACUACCAAGUUGUGUUGGUCAUGUGUGCCGCCCGCCCAUGAACUACUGUAUUUGAAUUGUAAUUGUUGUUCACAGUUCACUAGGGCUAGGGGGGGGGGGCACCCCCCAGUAAAUCCAUCCCUGUUUGUAUAUUCAGUGUAACACCUCUGUGUAACAUUAUUCUGCAGUGUAUAAACAUUAUUCAUGUAUGAUUAUUCAUAUGUCAUCUGUGACUCAAUUUCCAUUUUAGUAAAUGACAUACUUUUUUGUAGUUUCCUAGCAGAAAGAUAAGGCUGACUCCUUCACAGAAGUCACCAGUGAAAAAACAUAACUGGACCUUUGAGGAAAAUAAAGCUUUGAUCUAGUUAUGGAAAAAUUUUGUCCAUAAUAAAAUAUAAUAACAACAAUUUACAAUAUCCUAGUAAUCUAUGUCACUGUUAUAAUCGUAGGGAUCCAUAAUAAAAUAUGUAGGGAUCCAUAAUAAAAUAAAAUCAAAUCAAUUUACAAUAUACUUCUUGUGUGUGUUGGUGUUAUGUACUCAGGUGAAUAUGAUGUUUGUGAUGUUUCUUGGGUCAUCUCUGUCCCAUGGUCCACUUUUCACAAUCAACAAUGCUGUACUGUGGAGUAAUAUCCACCAAGCACACAGAAUUUAUUGGUUGUAGAUCACAGUUACAUCCAGUUUGCCCUUGUAAAUUUAUUGGUUGUAGAUCACAGUUACAUCCAGUUUGCCCUUGUAAAUUUAUUGGUUGUAGAUCACAGUUACAUCCAGUAUGCCCUUGUAAAUUUAUUGGUUGUAGAUCACAGUUACAUCCAGUUUGCCCUUGUAAAUUUAUUGGUUGUAG